rnacentral:rRNA from 1 species
UACGUAGGGACCGAGCGUUGUCCGGAUUCAUUGGGCGUAAAGAGCUCGUAGGCGGCUGUUCAAGUCGAACGUGAAAACUCGGAGCUCAACUCCGAGCCUGCGUUCGAUACUGGACGGCUAGAGUCUGGUAGGGGGAUCUGGAAUUCCUGGUGUAGCGGUGGAAUGCGCAGAUAUCAGGAGGAACACCGGUGGCGAAGGCGGAUCUCUGGGCCUUACCUGACGCUGAGGCGCGAAAGCUAGGGGAGCGAACAGG